CCAGACUCCUACGGGAGGCAGCAGUGGGGGAUAUUGCACAAUGGGGGGAACCCUGAUGCAGCGACGCCGCGUGGGUGAAGGAGUAUUUCGGUAUGUAAAGCCCUAUCGGCAGGGAAGAAGCAAGACGGUACCUGACUAAGAAGCCCCGGCUAACUACGUGCCAGCAGCCGCGGUAGUACGUAGGGGGCGAGCGUUAUCCGGAUUCACUGGGUGUAAAGGGAGCGUAGACGGCCAAGCAAGCCAGGGGUGAAAGCCCGGGGCCCAACCCCGGGACUGCCCUUGGAACUGCUUGGCUGGAGUGCGGGAGGGGCAGGCGGAAUUCCUGGUGUAGCGGUGAAAUGCGUAGAUAUUAGGAGGAACACCAGUGGCGAAGGCGGCUUACUGGGCUGUAACUGACGUUGAGGCUCGAAAGCGUGGGGAGCAAACAGGAUUAGAUACCCCCGUAAC
rnacentral:rRNA from 1 species